GAUGAACGCUAGCGGCGUGCCUAAUACAUGCAAGUCGAGCGAACGGACGAGAAGCUUGCUUCUCUGAUGUUAGCGGCGGACGGGUGAGUAACACGUGGAUAACCUACCUAUAAGACUGGGAUAACUUCGGGAAACCGUAGCUAAUACCGGAUAAUAUUUUGAACCGCAUGGUUCAAAAGUGAAAGACGGUCUUGCUGUCACUUAUAGAUGGAUCCGCGCUGCAUUAGCUAGUUGGUAAGGUAACGGCUUACCAAGGCAACGAUGCAUAGCCGACCUGAGAGGGUGAUCGGCCAAACUGGAACUGAGACACGGUCCAGACUCCUACGGGAGGCAGCAGUAGGGAAUCUUCCGCAAUGGGCGAAAGCCUGACGGAGCAACGCCGCGUGAGUGAUGAAGGUCUUCGGAUCGUAAAACUCUGUUAUUAGGGAAGAACAUAUGUGUAAGUAACUGUGCACAUCUUGACGGUACCUAAUCAGAAAGCCACGGCUAACUACGUG
rnacentral:rRNA from 1 species